ACUACCCUCUCUCAUUUAUUUGUUGCUGUUACUUCUCUCUCUAAAGAAGAACCAAAGUAGCCUCUUCUUUCUCCUUUAAAGUUGAAACCACCAACCACCGUCAUCCACCUUUCCGGUAACCCACCACCGCACGCCCACCUCCAUGGCUGUUAAAACCAACACCAUUGAACUUCUCACUUCUUUCUAUUUAAAAACCACCCUCUUAUUUCUAGAUCUAUGAGAUUUUAAAAUUUUCAAUCAUCGCCAUCUGUCUUAGAUUCCCGGCCACCAUGGACCAAUUUUCAGAAACUAAAUUGAUAUUAUUUUUCCCUAUGAGAUUCACUACAAAACCCCUAAAUUUAUUUCACAAUCAGUGCAACUUCACCAGUGACCACCGCAUCGGAGUCCUUGCUGCCGUGCCGGAAAACUUUUUCGCGGCAAUUUCAUCAUUUUUCUUCUUUUGGGUAUCAUUAAAGAUGAUGUAAAAGACAAUGUAGAUGAUGAAUUUCAAAAGGACAACAUAGGUGAUGGAUUUCAAGAGUAAGACGUAGAAGAUGAAUUUCAAAAGGAUGUUGUAUCAUUGAAGAUGAUUUAAAGGACAAUAUAGAUGAUGAACUUCAAGAGGACAACAUAGGUGAUGAACUUCAAGAGGAAGACGUAGAAGAUGAAUUUCAAGAGAAUGUCGUAGGUGAUGAAUUUCAAGACGACAUCAUAGAUAAAAGUGAAUUUCAAGACAGUUGAAUGAAUUGAACGAAUUUUUAUUUAGGCUUGCACUUGAAAGCUUUAAAUUUGGGUGAACUAUAUAUGUAUUUUACUAGGCCUGGAUGUUGUAUUAAGUAAUUUUAGAUAUUUUGUUUAGUGUUAUGUGCUGACUCAA